AUCAAAACCAAACGGCCCCUUCGCGGGGUCGUACAUCUGGUGAUUCUGAAUAACUUUGGGCUGAUCGCAUGGCCUUGCGCCGGCGACGUAUCUUUCUAAGGUGUGCCCUAUCAACUGUCGACUGUGGCAUAGACGCCCACAGUGGUUUUGACGGGUAACGGGGAAUCAGGGUUCGAUUCCGGAGAGGGAGCCUGAGAAACGGCUACCACUUCUAAGGAAGGCAGCAGGCACGCAAAUUACCCACUGGUCGAAGACCGAGGUAGUGACGAAAAAUAACGAUACCGGACUCAUCCGAGGCCCGGUAAUCGGAAUGAGUACACUUUAAAUCCUUUAACGAGGAACAAUUGGAGGGCAAGUCUGGUGCCAGCAGCCGCGGUAAUUCCAGCUCCAAUAGCGUAUAUUAAAGUUGUUGCGGUUAAAAAGCUCGUAGUUGGAUCUCGGCGGGUAGGGGGCGGUUCGAUGUUUGUCGCUACUGCUCCAUUUUACCCGUGUUUUUGACGGAGGUCGCAGGGUGCUCUUAAUCGAGGCGACUGUGAUGGCCCUCAGGUUUACUUUGAGAAAAUUAGAUUGCUCAAA
rnacentral:rRNA from 1 species